AGAAUGGAACUCUCCAAAAGAGUUUCCUGCAGAAAAAUUCCGAGUCUGCAGGAACUGCAUUUGUCUACCCAAAAGAGCUAUUUCAGUGGGGAACUCCUGGCUAGCUCUGAAGCUCAGUUAUUUAGGGCUGAGCUUAUGGAGAGAUGUCAGCGAUGUAGCCAACUAUUAGCUAAGUUAGCUGCAGAACUUGAUCUCUCACAUAUUUAUCUUUAAUAGAAACAGAGCCGUCAGUGGCCUUAGUGGUUAUUUGUGUUUCAGAUAACUCCCUGCCCUCAGUUUGGGGAAACGAUCAUUGUUUCCUUAUGCCCAAGGAAUGACUUCUUCAGAGCAAUAGCAUCUCCAUCUAAUAGCUACCACGAGACAAGAUUUUGAGGUGUCAGAGAGUAUGCAGCAGAGUCUGGAUAAAGCCUGUUUAAAUAGCAGCAGCUGUACCCAUGCUUAUGAGACACCUCCUAGGUUUGCUGCGGGACAGGGUCCUAAGUUGUGGCUGUAUGAGCACACCUCUAUGUAGUCCAGGCUGCUGUCCAUUCCCCCCCGAAUUCCCCAGCAAUGACCUUACUGCAGCUAUUUCCAUGCCUGUAAAUCACCUCAUCUGCGUGAGGCAAUGCCAUUAACUUUGCCACGCGAAGGCAAAUUUACAACGGGAAGCAACAGUAAGAAAAUACUCCUACAAGAAAUGACGUGAGGUCUGCACAGGGCAUACCAUCCAUAAAUCCCGGGCAGCCCCACGCACCAUGCUGAUGAGCCAUUCCCACCCACUGGGAAAGACUGGUGCGUUGGCUGAGGAUGAAGCAAUGGCUUUGGUGCACGGCAGUCUCCAGCUAGAAGAAAAGCCAGAGCAAAGCUUCCAUCCAAGGCGAUGCCAGCCAGAUGUGGGGCACCCUGCUGGGGCACAGUGUUGGGUUUACCCUUGACCCAAGGAAGGAGGUCCCAGUUCCACUGCCCAGAAGCUUCUUAUGGCUAAAAAAGUAACCCUGUGCCAAAACCUGAGAACAUCUUCUGUGUUUUCCACAGAAGUCUUGGAGCCAGCUCUCCUAGCAAGUCUGGGUCGGGUGCCAAGAAGGCUCUGCUAAAGGAGACCCAACAGCUCAUGAAUGAUCUGUUUAAACAACAAAUAAGUGAAAUGCCUGCCCUGGCAUACAGAGCUGCUAGCUUUCCAGUCCUUUCCAAGGCUGCUGCUGAAUAAAUAUCCCAAGCACACAGAUCCAGGCUUUGGCUCUGCUGGCCAACCCACUUCUGUGGAUUUUCACCUUCCUGCUAGAAUUAUGCUUCUCUAGGAGCUCUCCAGGGCUUUUAAUUGCUGUCAUAUUAGAAGGAUGCCAGAAGGAAAACACGAGGGAAAAGCCCCAUUCAGAGGUAGGUUCCUCUCUGCCAGGACUGGCUCGGAAGUAGCCUUCUUCCCUGAGUCUCAUUUACAGGAGCUUCUCAACUCUUUUCCAAAGCUGCAUUUAGCCCUGGGUCCUGGCCAGCUCCUGCAAUCUCAUUUCCCUGGCAGUGAGGAUGGGAAGAGGGCCCUUGGUUUUGUACCAAGCACUGCAGCCAUACCGAAGGCUGGGGAUGGAUGCUACCUCCCAGCCACCCGCUGUGCUGCAUUGUGACUCUUUUAUUUUGGAAGGAAUGUCAUUAAACAGGGGAUAUUAGGUACUGGAAAAGCAACAGCAAAAUAUGCAGCAUUUCUAAAUUCUUACCAAAAUAAAGGCUAAUUGUUCUGCUGGUAAGAUGAGGUGUCCUGGCCCUAUUAGGCACUGCAGACAGAAAGCAAGAGAAAAACAAGGCAAUGAAUGAAACACAGAGAGGGCAACACAAACAAGAAAGCAAAGUGAUCUGUGAAACUACUGUAUAUAAUCUCUGCAUGUGCAUACACAUACAAGUUACCCACCUCAGGCCAUGGAUAUACCCCAGAGCUGCUUGGAAUUAUGUUAUUAAAGGCCCCCAAAGCACCUCCUCUUGGCCUUGCUGUGAUGCUUGGCCCACCAGCAUGGUCCCAAGUAGGAGAUAAUGCACCAAGCAUGCCUUUAAUAACCUCGGGACAGUAGCAGCUUUGCAAAACAAACUUUCCCCAGCUGCACCCACCUGGACAGCAGCCUGCUCAGCUGCAUCCCAUGCUGGCCUCUCCUUUUGGAUCCAGCCUCACGGAUCUGGGCCAGAUCAGGACAACCUGGUCAUGACCCUGAUGUGGGGACCUGGGGAGUGGGGCAGAGAGGAAGAUGAUGCUCAGCACAGCCAAGGGUCAUAUCAUGCAGCCUUGGACAUCUGGUCUGGGUGUCUCUGCCUGGCUGCCAAGCUCAAGCGCAAAGGGAGAGGGGAGGAGAAAAGCAAAUGAACCCCCAUCCAUGACCCCGAUGCUCCCCAGAACCACCUUUUCCCCCUCCUCUGCCCUCUCUGGAGCCUUUUCCAGUGUCCACACACUGCUGACUCUCAGCGCAGGUGUGAAACAUCCCCUCUGGAACUCCUGCAGUUAUUUCAUCACAAAUCCUCCCAAGACGAAGCCCUUUAUCCCCCCAGAUUCCUGGAAUACCAAACACUUGGAAUGACCUGGAGCAUUCCUCUCAUCCAUCCAUCUAUCUGUCCCACACCGAGCUUGCCCAGACCAUCUGCAAGGUCGUGAUCCCCAGCACUGCUGAAAGCACGUGUAUGUGUAUGGGAGAUGUAUGGGUCCAGGCAGUCUGAGCGCCAAGCCAGCCAUCUGCUUCACAGAAUGCCACAUGUGCUCGUUGUUUUUAAAAGGGAAUGGAGCAAAACAACCCCUCGUGAGAUAACGGUCUGCAAAGUCCUCCAAAGUCGGCCCCGAAGAGCUGCAGCUCUCUGGUUGCUGGGGCAGGAAGGUGGCAUUACCCAUUGCUUGCUGACAUCCAAAGCACAUCUCAGCUGCGACCAGCUCCCUGUAGCAGCCCUUCCAUGACAGCUCCUCUAUGCUGGAAGGCUGCAGUCAUGCUCCUCUGCCUGCUGUCCUGGCCUAGAAUAAACGCAGCCGUCUCUUGUAGAUCACAGCUCCUCAGCCCCUUGUCACCCUCGAUGGUUGUCUCCAAGUUGUCCUCAUCUUUGUGCUUUUGCACACUGACAGGAAGCAUGUGCCUUCUUCAGCUGGGCUCCUGGCAGGCUUCCUUGGGCCUGCCAUCCCAUGGCCAGGGCAAGCCAGACAUUCCUGAGACGUCAGCAGCCUGACACAAGGCAGUGCAAUGGGACAGUGACUGGGAGGGACAGGAGCAAUGAUGCUUUUUCAUUUCUGCACAAGCACACACCCAUUUUUUCACUCCCCCUCUGAGACAUUUCCAACCCACGUCUGAAUCAGCCCUGGGCUUGGACUAACCCUAACGCAGCCCAACACUCAGCUGCAGACUGAGCUCAUAAGGACUUCAUAAUUUGCUGGCAAACCCCGAGGAACAGGCAACCGUGUUGGAAACAAGCACGGCACCACCAGCCCCCUGCAAAAAGAGGGGGAGGCAGAUGGGUUGUGAGGCAUGGUGAGGGUGGGCUGGGAGAGCUACCCCUUGGCCAUGCAGUGGGGCAUCACCAAGUCUCAGGUGCUGGCCACAAUCGCCACCACCUGUGCACGACCUUCUCCAGGAGGCUUCUGCCCCGCUCUUGUUUCUUUCUGUUUUGACAGACUCCCUUCCUCUGCCUUUCAGGACUAUUCUCUGAGCUCUGAUGUCUGCUCAAGAUCAGCCUCAGGUAUUUUCAGAGGUGAUGGAGGAGACUGUGAGAAGAGCUGCCAGUGGCUUAAGCCCUUGGCAAAAAAUACGGUGUGUUGGAGAGUUGCCUGCAAAGGGAGCGGGGCUCAUGGUGAGAGGGCUGUGCUGUGAUCUCAGGCACACGGUGUCCAUCCCUCCACCCAUCCUCUGGGCUGAUACCUCCACAGGUGUUAAAGACAUCAGCUGGCCACCCUCCUGGUGGUGUUUUUCCAUCUGCCUGCUCUUGACAGCUCGUAUUUUUCAAGCCAUAGGAUGGGUGUGCAGUACUGCAAUAGGGCAGUGCCUGAGGAUGGAGGCUGGAGCGUAAUGAGAGCUGAGUAACCCACAGCUCAGGGAGCACGGAAACAACUGUUUACAAGGGUGGGUAGUGACAGGACAAGGGGGAAUGGUUUUAAACUGAGACAGGGGAGGUUUAGGUUGGAUAUUAGGAGGAAGUGUUUCACACAGAGGGCG